UUGGCAAGGGUUUUAAUUGGCAAGGAAAGCUUCAGUCAUGUUCACUAGGUUAGAUUAAUUGAGGCAUAAGAGAGUGUUAGUCAUUUGGAAAUUAUUUAUAUUGCAAAGCAGCAAAGCCAAAGAAUCUACAUGACUGGGUGUCUGAAGGUCUGUUUUGACUCUGCCACCAACUAAGAACAAAAGGAAGAGGUUCACCACUCAGGGACAUCACUUUCUCUGUAUGUACACAUUUUUCUGAGACAACUGGACAAAAUGAAGACUUUUGACACUGAGUUUGUUCUUCAGGCUCAUGUGGGAACCCGCCAUAUCCCAGGACAGUCAUGCAUGAGACAGGAAAAGCAGAGACUAUAGGAAGAAGUUAAGCAACACCAUGGUGACACAAUUAUCAAAAUCCAGACGGCAGAAAACUCUAUAGGAUAAAUAAGCUGGUUCCUUCAACAAUGGAAAGAAUUAAAAAUUUUCGGACUUGAGUCACACAAAUUGUUACAAAAAUAUAGUACUUGUAAGAGAAUUUGAAAUUUGAAUAAUGGUUAGGUAUUUGAUGAUAUUAAAUUAUUAUUUUUACUUGUGACUGCAACUGUAGUUCUUUUUUAAAGCAUUAUGUUUUGGAAAUACACACUGAAAUUGUUUCAAAGGCAAUAAUUUGACUUCUGGGACUUGCUUCAAAAAUACUCAAUGAGUAUAAGUGAAUGGAGGUAUUGAUUAAACAAUAUUUGUCAUGAUUGUAUAAUUUCUGAAGCUGGGUUGUGAGUGCAUGGAGUUUUACUUUACUAUUAUUUCUACAUCUGCAUAAGAUUGAAAAAUUUCAUGAUACUUUAAAAAUGUAUUUUUCCAAAUAAAUGUAAUGGUGAGAAGGAGUAUUUGGAAGGUUUUGCUUGUUCAUUAGUUUUCUAGCAUUUAGUUUGUUUUUAUUCUUUUGAGUUUGAAGAAUAUACAAGAUAUAAUUCGCCAGAGUAAAAUUUUCUAUCUAGGUGCCUCCAUUUACUACUGCCAUAUAUAUAAACUGAAGAGGGAAUUUUUUCAUGACCAGCCUUCUGGGAAUCACAGAAAUGUGAUUGAUCUGGAAUACUCUCCACAGUCUACGGGCUGAUGUCAUGUGGCUCUCUCAUAAAUGGGAAGGAGCUGUGAAAUGGCAGAAAAUACUCGAUUUUACAACUAUUUUUGAAAAUCUUUAAUAUUCGUUAUUUUAAAAGUAGAUUAGUAUAUCUGACAUAAAGUCAGAAUGUAAAAUGAAUCAGGUUGUGAGCAGAAUUAUGGUGUAAUAAAAACAUGCAGCAGAACUGGACAGUGAAAUAGCUCUGAAUUUCAUUGAAAUGUGUUGUAUAAUUGAUCAUGGAUGUAAAGCACAGCAUGUUUAUGGAUUCAGCAAGAGAGAAUGUAGAUUUUUUUUCCCCAGGACAAGCAGACAUACUCUGGUACCUGUAGAAAACAUAGAAAUAUAUUGCAGCUGAAGAGAUCAUCACCAUUAUAUUAUAAAACAUACGGUGCUGUGUAAAAAACACACACACACACACAAAAACCAUCAAAUCAUUUUAAGUAACUAUAUUUGUGGUAAUGUUGAUGCUAUUAUUCUGAGGUUGAUGCAUGUAUAUUGUUAGACAAAAUUAAUAAUUACAUUGAUAUUAUUAAGAACCAGGAGUUUUGGCAUAUAAGAAAAAAAGAUACAUAUGUAAGAUCAAAGAGAUUACAUUAAAAAAAAAAACAACCUUUUAAUCCUAAAUUUAAAUCUGAAGUUUUUUAUCAGGUGAAUUUGUGAUGUAUUUUAUCAUAUACAUUUAAAAAGCACCAAAACCGGUAGCAAUGACUUCUCCCUAGCAACCAGAUGAUGAUCCGUAAGCAUAAUUUUCUACUAAAAUAAACAAACAAAAAAGGGAAAAAUAGGGAGGGAGCUUUACAGCUACAGAGGAGUGGAGAGAUUAACAAAUCUUCUUCUUACCUCCACAAGAAAAGGAUAAAACUGGACAUAAUUGUCAAAAACAACCAUCUUGGAACUCUAAAAACUGACUAAAUGCAAAGAACAAUUUGAGAAAUAUAUAUUUAUGAAAAACUGCUAGUCCUUCAGCUACAAACAAUAAUGCCUGUAAUCUUGUCUGGAGCCAAUGUUCACCACCCAUCCCAGCUUGGUCAAUAAUAAUGACAGCAUUGCUAGUGUGCAGCUGGCCAGGAAACCUAUAACUUUGAUGCCAGACCAGGUGGGCUCAAUUUCAGGCAUAGGACCAAAACCUACAACAGGCAGCAUUGUCAGUAGAAAAUAAAUGGGUGACUGACAGGUCUACUAGCCUAAAUUUGUGGUACUGGUUGGGGCAAACGGUAAACCAGGCAUAAACUUAGUGGAGAGCUCUUAGAAAUAAGAGAGCCAUAGAAGAGAUGAGAGAAGCUAUUCACGAACACCUGGCUGACUAGGAAGCUAUACAUGUGUGUGAGGCAAAACCAAGGAAGUUUGAGUGUAAAGUGAAAGUCACAGAAGACUUGAAAACUGACAACUUUGUGCCCACACCCAAAGACCAGUCAGCAGAGGGAGGAAGAAUUAUGGGCACAUGGAAUUUGAGUAUAGCCUAUUCCAAAUCACUGGAUGACCACUAAGCUAUGCAGACACUGGGGUGACCCCUAGGAAAUCAGGCUAGAUAACAAAAAUAAAAAAUCUUAGCAUAUAUACAAAUGGCCAUAUGCUACAGGGGAGAUCAAUUUCACAGUUAAAGUUCAAGUGAGUUACAAAAAAGAAAAAAGAAAAAGUAAAAUCAGAACACAAAAUUACUAUAUUACCUCAUAUGUCCAGUGUCCAACCAAAUAUUAGAGUAUACAAAAAAUACUGUGUGAAACCAUAUUUAGAGAAAGUAUAGACCAGAUUUAGAAAAAAAAAAAAACCACUGAAUAGAACUAACUGUAAGUAGACUAAGAAGUAGGAUUCUGCAGCAAAAAUUUCAUUAUAGCUAUUCUGAAUAUAUUGCAUAGAAUUAAAAAAAAUUUGAGGACAAUGACUCAACAAAUAAGGGAUCUCAGUAAAGAAACAGAAAGCUAAAAAAAUCCAAAUGGAAAUCUUUAAGUUGAAAAAUGUAAUAACAAAAAUGAAAAAAUUACUAGAUGGAUUUAAUAGCAAAUUUGUGAUGGCAGAAAAAAUCAUCAAUGAUUUUGAAGAAAAAAAUAGUAAUUAAUUUACCUUAAGAUUAGAAAGAAAACAGUUACAGAAAAAUAAGCAGAGACUCAGAGACUUGUCAGUAAAUUGUACAUAUACUGAAGGGAUUCGGAAUGUGCCACCCCAAAAUAUUGCACUUUGGCAUAUUGAUUGUUUUGAACUGAAGCCACUUGAGAAACAGCAAAUGCAGGAGGGGCUUUCUGACCUCCUCCUUUCUACCUAAAAGCAGAUCAUAAAAUUUCCCAUUAAAAAGUUGUCUUCCCUUUAACACAGAGAAGAAUAUUCUACUCACUACACACUGGGAGUCAACAUCAAAAUGUAUCUAUAAAACCUACUAAAAUAAUUCUUAUUUUCUAUUAUUUUCAUGUAUAUAUUUCAUAAUCAGUUUCCCACAAUUUACCACCACAGAAGUUUAAAUCCAUUUUCCUUUGUCUUAUCACUUCUUCACAAAAUUAUUAUUCUUUUGGUAAAUAGGUUUAUAAGCUCUCAGUCCUAACUGCUUCUUCACAUCUUUAUUUUUUCUAUGAAGGCUGCCAAAUACAUAUAAAAACAUUACAUAAAAUGCAUAUGCUUUUCUCCUGUUAAUUUGUCUUAUGUGUUUCAUUUUCAGGCCAAAUUCUCGGGCCUGGUCACAGAGCCUAGCAAGGCAAAUGAAAGCAUUAUUUUCCUUUCCCAUGAUAUAAACAUACAUGAAAUGAGAGUCCCAGAAAGAGGAAAGAAAGAAAAUGGCAGACAAGUAUAUUUGACGUGAACUUCUGUUUCCAGCUCUGAUAUCAAAAAAUAAUAGAAGUCAUUACUUCCAUCAUUUCAAUGAGAAAAAAUUUGAACAUACUGAAAAAUAAUGACUUUUCUUAGACCUGUUAGAGAACUGAAAUCUAAAGGUAAACUGCCACACCGAAUCUGGCAAGACAGCUUCAUCCAAAGAGUUACAGCCAAUACCUGCUGCCUUGGAGGAAGAGCCACUGGAGUAAUGAACCGGUAGAAAUAUUUAAAUGGUAAUUUUGAUUAAUUGCUGGAGCCAGGAAACUAACUUGAGAGUGAGAAUAUCCUAAGGGUUGCAGUCUUAGGGAUACACACAUUCUUUUUUUUUUUUUAACCACUAGGAAUCUGAUUAUACUUUCACAGUGUAGCAGCAACAAAAAUUCCCUUGUAGCUUUGGCAAGAAGAGGGUAAAAGUACUAUUGUGAAAUACACCCAAAGUGCUCUCCAUAACACAGGCCUAUACUUUCAAGGGAGAAAGGCUACCAGAGUCUUAUCUCUACUUGGGAGAAAACUAUUUCCCUAACUACAGGCCUUUCUAGCCCUUGAGACUCACCUAAAGGUGGAAAAUCUCAGUAAGUUAUUUUCUAGAUAUCAACAAACUGAUUCUAAAGUACAUAAGGAAAAGCACAAGACCUAGAAUCACCAGCACAGUACUAAAAAAGAAGAUAAUUAGAGAACUCACACUACUCAACUUCAAGGCUUACUAUAAAGCUACAGUAAUCAAGAUAACACAGUAUUCAAAAAAGAAUAGACACAUACAUGGAUGAAAUAGAAUAGAGAGCUCAGAAAUAGACCCCCACAGAUAUCGUCAAUUAAUCUUUGACAAAGGAACAAAAGAAAUUCAAUGAAGAAAAGGUAGUCUUUCAACAAAUAGUCCUGAAACAAGUACACAUCCACAUGAAAAAAAACAUACAUCUUUCAAAAAAAAAAACCUUACAUCUUUCAAAAAAAUUAAUGAGAAUGAGUAAAUCUUAGACCUAAAUAUAAAACACGAAACUAUAAAACUUACAGAAGAAAACAUGACAGAAAAUCUAGGAGACCUUGGUUUGGCAAUGAGUUUUCAGAUUCAACAUCAAAAAUAUGAUUGAUGAAAGAAAAAAAAUUGUUAAGUUGGAUUUAAUUAAAAUUGAGAACUUCUGUUCCAUGAAAGACACUGUUAAGAGAAUAAGAAGAAUUAAAAGACAAGUUAUAAACUAGGAUAAAAUAUUCACAAAACACUUAUCUAAUAAAUGAUUUGUAUCCGACACAAAGAACUCUUAAAACUCUGCAAUAACAAAACAAAAAACCCAGUUAAAAAAAAAAAAGAUUCAAAUAGACAUCUCAUACAUAAAUGACAAAUAAGCACAUGAAAAAGAAGCACAACACUAUUUGUCACUAGGGAAAUACAAAUUAAAACAAUAAAACAAAAUAAAAUAGUAAAACAAAAUAAAAUGUUACACUUAUUAAAAUGGCUAAAAUCUGAAAAUUCCUAAAACCAGUUAAUGGCAAGGAUGCAAAGCAAAAGAAACUCUUCCAGUUGCUGGUGGGAAUGCAAAAUGGUACAACUACUUUGGAAGCCAAUUUGGCAGCCCUUACGAGGCUAACCAUAGGCUUAUCCUACAAUCCAGCAAUUUUACUCCUACGUAUUCACUAGAAUAAUUUUAGGUGAACACAUCCACACAAAAGCCUGCAUGUGAAUGUUUAUAGCAACUUUAUUUGUAAUAGACAAAAACCAGAAGCAACCAAGAUGUCCUCCAAAAGUUGUGUAGAUAAUAGAACUGUGGUUUAUUCACACAAUGAAAUAUUAUUCAGUGAUGAAAAGAAAUGAGCUACCAAGCUAUGAAAAGGCAUGGAUGAAUUACAAAUUGCAUAUUGCUUAGUGAAAUAUUUUGAAAAGAAUCUAAAAAGAUUAUAAUUUCAAUUAGAUGACAUUCUAGGAAAGGAAAAACUAUAGAAACAGUGAAAAGAUCAGUAUUUGUCAGGGGUCCAGAGAGAUGAGAGGAGGGCCUGAAUUAGGUGAAACACAGGGAAUUUCUAGGGUGGUGAACUAUUCCAUAUGAUAGGUAACUGUUAACAUAUGGUACUAUGCAUUUGUCAAAACCCACUGAACUUUACACAAAGGAGUAGACCUUACUCUUUGGAGUAACCUUAUUCAUUAAGAGUAAACCUUAAUGUAUGCAACUUAAAAAAUAAUUCAGAUGUUAGAGGAAUCCCAGGAUGGAAUGUUGAAUGUGAUGAAACAAUCUAACUAUAUUACAAAUGUAUGCAUUUAAUACAACCUCGAAUAAAGCUGGGGAAAGGAGGCUGACCUGAGCAACUUUGGAAAUUAGAGUAGUCUGCCAAACAAUAGGCAAAAAGUCUAGAGAACUAAUAUAUAGCAUGUGGACUAUAGGUGAUAAAAUCAUAUGGUAUUUGGGAUUCAUGACAAAUGAAUAGAUUUUAGUUACCUUACUAAGAAUAAAAAAAGAUAGUAAACAUGUGAGAUGAUGAAUUUAUUAAUUUGUUUCACUAUAGUUAAAUACUAUAGUUAGAUACUUUUUUCUAUCUCUGUGUAUCCCAUAACCUCAUGGUGUAUCCUUUAAAUAUACACAAUAUUAAUUUUAAAAAAGAUGGCUGUUCAUAAGCACUAUACUCUACUUGAAAAAGAACACAUACCUAAUGGAGGUAUGAACUAAUGAUUCUGAUACAUACAUACUAGAAUUGAACAAUUAAGCAAAUGAAUUGUGGAUGGUGGGAGCUAGGUUUCCUAAUAUUGUAAUCAGAGUUUACAAAUCAGCACAUGGAAGAGGCUAGAAUGAUCCAUGUGGUAAUGGGUUAGAAUUGGAGAGAUCAGCACGGACUCGUGUUUAUUUUAAUAUAGAUACAGAUGGUUACAUAUGGAAAUAUUUCCAGAUAUAUAUGUAUACUCAUGGGAUAGUAUACACAUAAAUAUUUCCUUUCUCUGUUUAGCUGAGAGGGCCUAAAAACAAUGACGCCAAAAUAGCAACCAGCACUCUUAAUGUCCAGGCAUUGGUUUCGGAUAGCAUUCUCCAAAAAAGGGAAAACAGAGCUUCUCAGAGAAAUGGCUGAUUCUAGGACUGGGGCAGGAAAUAUGUAAGAUGAACCUGGAGCAAUUGCAGUGCCAGAAAAUAAGAAAAUGUUCUUACCAAAUAAGAGCAACAACAACAAGAAAAUAAACAGCAACGAAACUACAAUUGUGGAAUAUUAUCAAAGGGACACAGGAACAACUGAAAGAGCUUCGGAUGGCCACAACUGGAAAAAUUUCGGC